rnacentral:rRNA from 1 species
UACAGAGGGUGCAAGCGUUGUUCGGAUUUACUGGGCGUAAAGGGCGCGUAGGCGGCCACCGCAAGUCGACUGUGAAAUCUCCGGGCUUAACCCGGAAAGGUCAGCCGAUACUGCGGGGCUAGAGUGCAGAAGGGGCAACUGGAAUUCUCGGUGUAGCGGUGAAAUGCGUAGAUAUCGAGAGGAACACCUGCGGCGAAGGCGGGUUGCUGGGCUGACACUGACGCUGAUGCGCGAAAGCUAGGGGAGCGAACGGG